UAUAUUGUGCAGAGGGUUUAUCGAUUGAAAAAACCUACACAGUGAAUACCAUUUGUCUCAUCGUCAUCGUUGCCAAAAAUGGCAACGAGUCAGGUGUACUAUGCUUUUUCAGAUCUUAGCAUGGCCGAUUGGAGAAAGCAUUUAUUGUUUUGCAUCCUCUCUCCUCCAUAUAACAGCCAAACAAGAGCAAUAAGGAUCUCGAACUUCAAUUCUCAACCAAGUGCUACACUCAAGAAAGGUGCAGAUACUCGCUUUGGUGAGCCGCCAGCUUAAGAUUUCCCUUCUGCUAUCUUGGAGAGUUCCGUUGUUCCGGAGCCCAGACUUUGGUAUAGAUCCUUCUUGAUCUAAAUAUAUGCAUAUGUUGUUUAAGGGUACGACGGGGCCCUGUCCCGUCAUAUUUUAUUGUUGAAACUCUUAGAGGUCUGUGGACAUGUGUGUGGGUCGUGUUCAGACGUGAUCAGUUAUGUGUGUAUUAUCAGUAUGUGUGUUCUAUCGUUGUAGCAGCCUCGCCGGCUUGCAGAUAUUAUCAUGUUGUGGUAGCAGCCUUGUCGGCUUGCCUUUUUAUGAAUAUUUAUGCAACAGUUCUGAGACCAAGGUUUGG